AUACAAGUAGUAGGAAGGAAACUGACGACCUUCGGGAGCUUGUCAGUGCUGCAUGGCUGUCGUCAGCUCGUGUCGUGAGAUGUUCGGUUAAGUCCGCUAACGAGCGCAACCCUCGCUGUGUGUUACAAGUGUCACACGGAACUGCCGGUCAUAAACCGGAGGAAGGUGGGGAUGACGUCAAGUCAGCAUGGCCUUUAUAUCCUGGGCUACACACACGCUACAAUGGGAAGGGACAAUAGGUUGCGAAGCCGCGAGGCGGAGCCAAUCCAGCAAAACUUCCCUCAGUUCAGAUUGCAGGCUGCAACUCGCCUGCAUGAAGUUGGAGUUGCUAGUAAACGCAGGUCAGCCAUACUGCGUUGAAUACGUUCCCGGGGCUU
rnacentral:rRNA from 1 species